rnacentral:rRNA from 1 species
UACGUAGGGUGCAAGCGUUAAUCGGAAUUACUGGGCGUAAAGCGUGCGCAGGCGGUUUUGUAAGACAGUCGUGAAAUCCCCGGGCUCAACCUGGGAAUUGCGAUUGUGACUGCAAAGCUGAAGUGCGGCAGAGGGGGAUGGAAUUCCGCGUGUAGCAGUGAAAUGCGUAGAUAUGCGGAGGAACACCGAUGGCGAAGGCAAUCCCCUGGGCCUGCACUGACGCUCAUGCACGAAAGCGUGGGGAGCAAACAGG